rnacentral:misc_RNA from 1 species
AAGAUUCUCAUCACUUACUUAAACUCUAAGACCGAUAGUGAAUUUGGGCCGGUGAAUUGGAUAUAUUCUGGGUUUACGAAAUCUUGUGGGCACUUCAGAGCAUGGAAUACUGAUAUCGUUGAUCAAGUGAACAUUUUCUCUCAUCUUUUGAAAGGGGAGAAAGCUGGGAGGGGUGGUUGUGUGCGGAUAUACCCCAAAAGUGGAGAUAUUUGGGCUGUUUAUCGAAACUGGUCACCUGAUUGGAGCAGAUCAACCCCAGAUCAUUUAAGGCAUCAAUAUGAGAUGGUUGAGGUUCUUGAUGAUUACUCUGACGAGCUUGGAGUAUGUGUCACUCCGCUCAUCAAAUUGGCAGGUUUCAAGACAGUUUACCAGAGGAACACUAACAAGGAUGCCAUUAGAUGGAUUCCAAGGAAAGAGAUGUUACGCUUUUCUCACCAGGUACCAUCUUGGUCACUUGAAGGAGAAGCGAGGAAUUUGCCAGAUAAGUGUUGGGAUCUAGAUCCAGCUGCAACUCCAGAUGAACUACUUCAUGCUGCAACAGAAGCCAAGGAUUAGCCAAACACGGUCAAGCAGGAAAGCAUGGUUUAUUUGAAGUUGCAUUUAUCAUUUUUAUAGAAAAUUUUUAGGUUGACUGUACAAUAUUUCACACUUGGUUCAAGGCCAAUGCAACAAUAACUCUAUAUGAUUUCUAGAUAAUUGAUGUUUACUGAGGAAGGUUGUGACUGGAAUUCUGAGUCCAUUGACUGCUCAUUGACAGAAAUAUACUUCUGUUCAAUGAGGCUGUUGUAACAUUUAUUGAGUUGUUACAGCUGAUAUCGAACUCAACAGAAAUGUAAUCUUUGUAUGUUGGGCCACAAUUCAAUGCCAAAGAAUUGCAAGGCUCAGUGCAAUUCAACUACUAGCCCCCUGAAUUUAUGAUUGUUGCUUAUUCUUGGAAUGCAAGUGUACUUUUAGU